UACGUAGGGUGCAAGCGUUAAUCGGAAUUACUGGGCGUAAAGCGUGCGCAGGCGGUUGUGCAAGACAGAUGUGAAAUCCCCGGGCUCAACCUGGGAAUUGCAUUUGUGACUGCACGGCUAGAGUGUGUCAGAGGGGGGGUAGAAUUCCACGUGUAGCAGUGAAAUGCGUAGAGAUGUGGAGGAAUACCGAUGGCGAAGGCAGCCCCCCUGGGAUAACACUGACGCUCAUGCACGAAAGCGUAGGGGAGCAAACAGG
rnacentral:rRNA from 1 species